rnacentral:rRNA from 1 species
AUUGAACGCUGGCGGCAUGCUUUACACAUGCAAGUCGAACGGUAACAGGUUAAGCUGACGAGUGGCGAACGGGUGAGUAAUGCAUCGGAACGUGCCCGAUCGUGGGGGAUAACGCAGCGAAAGCUGCGCUAAUACCGCAUACGAUCUGAGGAUGAAAGCGGGGGACCGUAAGGCCUCGCGCGAUCGGAGCGGCCGAUGUCAGAUUAGGUAGUUGGUGGGGUAAAGGCUUACCAAGCCGACGAUCUGUAGCUGGUCUGAGAGGACGACCAGCCACAGUGGGACGGGGACACGGCCCAGACUCCUACGGGAGGCAGCAGUGGGGAAUUUUGGACAAUGGGCGCAAGCCUGAUCCAGCAAUGCCGCGUGCAGGAAGAAGGCCUUCGGGUUGUAAACUGCUUUUGUACGGAGCGAAAAGGCUCUCUCUAAUACAGGGGGCUCAUGACGGUACCGUAAGAAUAAGCACCGGCUAACUACGUGCCAGCCGCCGCCGUAAGAC